UCGUCUAAAUCAGAUCAUUGUUUUAAAAUGAAUAGUACAAGUGACUGACUGACUGAAAUAUUGCAAAGCUACACCUGGAUUUUAUUUUCUUCUCUCAAGUCUCAGAGGGCUCGGAAGACAUCGUGGCGAGAGGACACUGACUUUUUCUUACAGGCUGAUGGUCCCCGCAACCAGGAGCUGCGUGUCCCUACAUUCUCAGGGUUGGAGGGAAAAUACUGGCAUGUGACGUGAGACCGAGUGGACGAGACGGACCAAAGAUGGCCAACCGGGACGGGCUUCCAGAGGUGUGAGUGGCGUUUCUCCUGCGGGGUCUGAGCUGCCUCACCACGAGCUGCCCCACCAGACCUCUGCCCCAUCGUCAGUCACUGAGGCUGGCAAAUGCUGGGAAUGUUCUAAGCAGUCGAGUGAAAACCGCCAAUGGAGAGGACUUUCCGCCUGAAAAUGCUCCCCGAAAUGUCCCUCAGCCUUCAGACUAUUUUAGCGACAAUUAUACACCUUUGGUGGAAGAGCUGUUAUUCCACUGCAGAGAGUGACCAUCUCAAUGUUCUUAUUAAACUUUAAUAGUUUUUCAAA